AACGCACCUUGCGCUCCUUGGUAUUCCGAGGAGCAUGCCUGUUUGAGUGUCAUUAAAUUCUCAACCUUUUCAGCUUUUGCAAGUUGAAUUUGGCUUGGAUGUGGAGGUUGCGGGCUUCUCAGAAGUCGGCUCUUCUUAAAUGCAUUAGCGGAACCUUUGUGGACCAGCUUUGGUGUGAUAAUUAUCUACGCCACUGUUGUAGAAACAGCUUUGCAUGGGGUUCAGCUUCUAACUGUCCAUUGACUUGGACAAUUUUUGACAUUUUGACCUCAAAUCAGGUAGGACUACCCGCUGAACUUAA
rnacentral:misc_RNA from 1 species